GGCAGACCUCAUGCAUGAACUAAUCUAUUUUUGACUGCAAAUCCUCAUUGAUGUGUCUAUCCACACAGCCUCUGAAGCAAGAUAACCUCAGCAAAGUUGGAUGACAUGAGUGAGAUAACUUGGCCCAAACAUCACAGAGAAACUCACAGAAAGAAAGGCUACCGAGGGAUCAACCAGUCAUGCCUGAUUUGGUGGAAUCUUUGAAAGAGCUUCAGAGAUAACCAGCACUAUAUGCAUACACCCUCAAUAUGUAUAUCUGUAUUUU